ensembl:lncRNA
CUCUAAUUCUUCUUGUGCCCUUACACCUGGAUUUGCCCUCAAUUACUGGGAAUUCUGUUCCCCAGCCUGCCCUGAAGGAAGACAGAGGGACUGAGUAUGGAAGCCUGCAGGACUCCAGAGGCUGAUCCCCAGUCUCCACUUUACUUUCUCCUGUCUUCCAGGCUGGCAUUCUUCUUUCCAGAGAGGCAGAAUAAUUGAAUGGGAAAGAAAAAACAGAAGAAGCCCUAGACUAGAUGUCAAGAGGAUUCUAAUCAACUCAUCCACUACCUUGCUGAACAUACUCAUUCAAGAACAAGGUCCUCAGAAGAUCUCCAGGAUUUUCUGCGUCAUCAGAUGCUGAUUCAUUUUCCUUUGCCCUCUCAUAUUUGUUUAGAAAUGUUUGGACUCGUUAAAUAUCCUGAAGGCCAUCUUCCUUUGUGUUAUUAAUAUCUUCCCUGUGAUUUUAUCUGCUUGUGCUGAUAGUACAGUUUUCAAAACCUUUUUAAAACCUUCCAGCUUAGAAUCGAUGUUGUGUAUUUGUUCUUAGGUAAAAAAGUGGUAAAGGACACGUAAUGGGGGCUAAGUGACUUGCCCAGGAUCACAUGGCCAGUACAAUUGUGUAUACAUGAGACAUCUGUAUAUCUAGAUAUAGAUAUGGUAAAUGGUAGGUGAUCUCAGAGGGAUGGUUUUGGAAAUUGGGGAGGAGACGUGUAGUUUUAUAGAAGGUAGGAUCUGGAUAGAGUGUUGAAGGAAGCCAGGGAAGCCUGGACAUAGAGACAAGAAGGGAGAGCAUUCCAGGCCAAGGGGGAAUACCCAGUGAAAAAGUAGAGUCAGAAAAUGGAAGAGCCUAUGUGAAGAACAGCCAGAAGGCCUUGGAUGUCACUGGAUCAGAGAGUACAUAGAGGAG